rnacentral:rRNA from 1 species
UACGUAGGGGGCUAGCGUUGUCCGGAAUUACUGGGCGUAAAGGGAGUGUAGACGGCUUGGUAAGUUAUAAGUGAAAGCCUGCGGCUUAACCGCAGAACUGCUUAUAAAACUAUCUCGCUAGAGUGCAGGAGAGGUGAGUGGAAUUCCUAGUGUAGCGGUGGAAUGCGUAGAUAUUAGGAGGAACACCAGAGGCGAAGGCGGCUCACUGGACUGUAACUGACGUUGAGGCUCGAAAGCGUGGGGAGCAA